UACAGAGGUCUCAAGCGUUGUUCGGAUUCAUUGGGCGUAAAGGGUGCGUAGGCGGCGCGGUAAGUCGGGUGUGAAAUCUCGGGGCUCAACCCCGGAACUGCAUUGGAUACUGCCUUGCUUGAGUACUGGAGAGGGAACUGGAAUUUACGGUGUAGCAGUGAAAUGCGUAGAGAUCGUAAGGAAGGCCAGUGGCGAAGGCGAGUUCCUGGACAGUUACUGACGCUGAGGCACGAAGGCCAGGGGAGCAAACGGG
rnacentral:rRNA from 1 species